rnacentral:tRNA from 1 species
GGGCGCAUAGCUCAGCUGGUUAGAGCGCAUGCCUCACAUGCAUGAGGUCAGAGGUUCAAGUCCUCUUGCGCCCACCA